rnacentral:rRNA from 1 species
UACGUAGGGGGCAAGCGUUGUCCGGAAUUAUUGGGCGUAAAGCGCGCGCAGGCGGGCAAUUAAGUUGGGUGUUUAAGCCCGGGGCUCAACCCCGGUUCGCAUCCAAAACUGGUUGACUUGAGUGUAGGAGAGGAAAGUGGAAUUCCACGUGUAGCGGUGAAAUGCGUAGAGAUGUGGAGGAACACCAGUGGCGAAGGCGACUUUCUGGCCUAUAACUGACGCUGAGGCGCGAAAGCGUGGGGAGCAAACAGG